GCUGCACUCGCUAGGUAUGAUAUAGCUCCUCCAGGUAAGGGAGCAAAACUGCAAUCAACGAGGGCUAGGAACUGAAAUUCUGGUCAAUUAGCGGUGGAAUUGGGUGGUCUAGGUUAAUACUCCUUAGGUUGGAUUUCUUCCCAGUCGGGUCGGGUCAUCUAUAGUCAUCCAUCACUCGUUAUUGUGGAGGAUUACAACGGUUACUGAAUCUUUUGUAUGGCCGCGGUCAAACUACGAGCAAAUGGAAGAGUUUGGGUUUGAUUUGGGGAUCAAAAUUGAUAACACUUAUCUGCAUUUUGAAUGAUUGGUUUUUACACAAUCUGAUUAGGUGAACUUCAAGCCCUUUUAGCAGGUUACUUACAAUUGUGAGACCACUGGCUAUGGAUCUGUACCAAUGUACGUCCGUGUGCACUACUAUGCUGUUUGUGUAUUCUGACCAAAUGAACACCAAUCGUCCGACAUGUCUGUGCAUCCAUAACCAUAAGCACUACACAAAUGUCAAUACUGUAUCCAUUACACUCAUGGUCUCUUCCCUGUGGCAACUAUGGCAGCCACCACCUUCCAAUGGCCAACUGACCACAUGAGGAAUUAAUGUGUUAGGCUUUUAGCAGUGCUUGUCCCAUGGGAAAAUUGGAAGCUGAUGCGUCAGGAAAAUGGAUAAUGUCUAGGGUGAAACCAUAAAAGCGUGCUGAGGUUACUUGUGUCAACAUACUUCAUACUCCAGCCACAUGAUAAUAAACUAUGCUGGCAGGGUCCAGAUUUGCACUUUCGGAUAUAAGUAUAUUUGAUCCAGAGUUUACAAUCUAUUCACAUUAGUAUCAUCUAGUUCCUUCGUGUUGCCUUGUUGGACUAAUGUUGUAUCAUUUCUAGGCAUAGAUUUCAAAUUACAGUAUAAGCAUACUUUUGCCUCGAUUUCAGUUUAUAUUGGCCUGUCAAAACCGAAUUCCAGUUGCUUCUUUAUUCCCCUCUAAUCUCAGUCCGUUCUUUGUACCUAAUUUUGUUUCAUAAUUAUAUAUGAAAAGUAUGCUGCAGAAAAUACUUACUAAUCUUGAUGCUUAUACCUAUCUACCCCACUCGUAGUAAAUCUUCUUGAGAAGUUGAGGUCACAUUCUUGUAUGAAGUUUUGGUGGCAGGUGGAUAUCCACAAUUAUCCCUGUUUGGUUCUCUUGUUGUCAUGCCUUCUUGUUCUUACAAAUUUCCGCUGUCUAAUUUUGGUCUUAGGAGUCACUGAAAGAUGAAAUGGAAUCCGUUUCACGAGCUCCAGCCUUGAUACAAUAAUCAAUACUCAUUGAUGUUAUCUACUUUGUCUUGUUGUCUAUGUAUCUAAAAAUUAACGGGACGUGAUUAUGAGGUGCAAAGUGUGAACUAACUGUGUAUUCGAUGCAAUAGGGGUCUUUGAGUCAGAUUAGGAUGGGGAACUUGUAGUUGAAUCAGUAAAGAACAAUGUUACAAUUUUGUUAUUUCUCUUUAUCUUGGUCCAUUGUACAUGCCUAUAAAAGCUUAAAAUACCUAGGGAUAACAAGCUUGGUUCUAUGGAUCUUGUACCAUGUUAACCAAGCGAUUUUCCUCGCAAAGAAACGAACUACUCCCUCCGAUCCAUAUUACUUGCCGCAGCUUUAGUACAACUUUAUACUAAAAUUGUACUAAAGCUGCGACUAAUAAUAUGGAUCGGAGGGAGUAAUUGAUUCCAAAAAUGAAAUGUUGUUGAAAUGUUCAUUACAUUGUUUUGACGGAAAUAAAGUGUUACAUCUUCUGCAGCGAAGAAUCUAUUACCUAUUUCAGUGGUAUGAUUCGAGGCAACAUAAUGUAAUAUUAAAUGUGCCCACUAGUGCACAAAGUACAUGGGUUGAAGAAUUAACGCAUUAGAUUCAUUUGUUGAAAGGAUCUCACCGUUGUUGUUUAUCGUAUUUUUGUAGUGUGGCUAACUGGCUGUUAUUCUACCACCAAAGACCACUGUCUGCUUGGCCUAACUUUGAGCUUUGUCCCUGAUGAGCUUAAGCUGAAGUCAGAUCACAUGUUUUCUGUUAGGGGUUUAGCCGCUUACAUGGAUAACCUGCAGCUAUCCAGAUUCUACUCUUUCUAGUGUCUAGGACAUUGUUGCGAUGUUAAGACUUUUUGACUUUAUAACUCUUUUAGGGCCUGAGCUAUGUGGAGUGCAAUUUAGAAUUAAUCUAAACUGGAUAAAUGUUCCAGCUAGCAAUCAUGCCAUCUGUGUACCUCUUUUGGUGCAAGUGAACUCUACUAUUUGCAAUAGUUGUGACUGAGACAACCAGUGACAUCACUGGUAAAACUUAGCCGAGCUAAGGUGUUACGCUUUAGUUGGGCAUUAGAUAUAAGCAAGGAACUCACUAUGUAUCAGUUUCUGCUGGUUGCCUGGUUGUAAGCACUCUGAAGCUGAUUCAAAAUGCUGUAAACUUUUAUUUUCUUUUUUGUGAUUGCCUUUAGCCUGUGCAUUGCUAGACCAGAAACAUGUUUCGCCCUUUCAUGUCCAGAGAGGUCGGGGUAGCCCGAACUUGACAUGGGACGGAGUCCAUAAAGAGAGAUCUAAAAGAUUGGAGUAUCACCAAAGAAUUAGCCAUGGACAGGGGUGCGUGGAAGCUAGCUAUCCAUGUGCUAUAACCAUGAGUAGGUUGCGAGAUCUUAUGGGUUUCAGCUCUAGUGUACCCCAACUUGUUUGGGACUAAAGGCUUUGUUGUCGACAUGUUUGACCCUUUCGCUAAUUUGCUUAGGUUUUUCUCAGCAGAAUGGUUUUAGUUGUUUCAAAUCAAAUCAACCUGGAUUCCAAAUCAAGAAUGAUCUAUACUUGGUUUCAUCUUUCUAGUUCGUAUUACUCAGUCGCUGCACAAAUUGUCCUUCAUAAUCUGUCAUAUGGUUUGUAUGGAAACAUUGGUGGCACCAAAUUUACUCAAGUGCUAAUGUAUUCUUGUGAUAGUUUAAUGGCCAUCAUUUUCUUUCUUAUCUUAGGAGAAAGGAGACUGAGCUCGAACUACUUUUAUAUCAUUUUGAAAGCACUCGUUCCUUGUCUUUGAUGAAUACAUUUUCAAUGUUUUAGAAUAAAUAGGUAAAACUCUAUUCAGACAGUUUAUUGGGGGAUGUGGGGUGGAUGUGAACGUAAGACAAUCCAAGCAAGUUUGUCGUAUCAUAAUUAAUUAACUUCUUACUGCGUUGUUACUGCAGUCUGACGUAUGACUCGUACUUGACCAGGUGUUCUGCUUCCAAGUGAGGUACUGUGAUCAAUUAUAUGAAUGUGCCAAUAUUGCCAGCCUUUUUUUUGCAGCAGCAGAUUUGCAGCUUUUUUGGUGUGUUUGGUGGCAAUUAUCAGGGUCACUAACUCCUAUGGUGCUAGGAUGGGGCCAAAGGACAUAUUGCUAAGCUGCUAGUUCGUGAAAGUUUUUGAAAUACCCAGAUUCUGUUCGAUGUGAUAUGCUAAUUCUUGGUGAUUAUGCCUGCUAUUGAUGUACAAACCAAUUACCCAAGUGGCUGAGAACCGAGAUGAGGAUAUGGUGAUAUGCUGGCUGUCAUGGCUGACGGAGACAGGCUGAGAUAGGUUUCUGAAACAUUUUAGAGAGAGUGAAGAGGAAAAAUAGGAAAUGCACAGCAACUUGAAGUGAUGGUGCUCACCCAACAAUUUCUCGAUCACGGAUUCUCUACAAAUAAUUCAUCAAAAUUAUGCAGCCUUGACUGAAACUGAAAGAGUGGAAAUGAGGCGAGCCCCCGUGUGCCCAUGGCACAAAGUGCCAGCUAUAGGAUCAAAUGAUAGAGGCAAUUGUGGUCACCCAUAGCAGGUUUUAGGAGCACCGAAUCCAGCUGGCGGUGGGGGGAGAUGGCGGGACAAGCAUUGCACACAUAUAGCCACACCAGGCAGAAUUGCCAUAUAAGUCCCAGCAGAUGCAUUUGCUGUUAGAACAUAUUCUGUUCACGCCUUGUCUUGUUUCAAAAGUUCUUAUUGAUUCUGCCAGAUAUUUGCAACUUGAUUUGAUUUUAGUGCGCCCACACCAACCCGUUUCUGAUAUUCAGGUACACUGCACAUUUCCCCCAUGAUCAUGAACUGAUCAUGUGUUAUUUUUCUUGUGUAUAAAUACACACCUACUAAAUGCGAUAUGUGAUCUAAUCGGUACACCGUUGCAUCAGGAAUAGCCAGAUGGACCAGUGAUCAGGUUUCAGAUCACCGAUUACAAAUGUUGAGUCUUUUUUUUUCUCUCUUCAGAUGACUGGUUACAACGGUGCGUCACUAGUGCGUUUUAGCAGGAAAGGGAGAGAAAUUCUUCACUGGAAAUGGGGUUAAAGCAGGCUUAUCCUAAGAAAAAUCUGCAGCAUGGAGGGGCUCCCAGGGGGUCUGGUAAAUAAGUUGGCCCGGCUUCAGCCUGUUUGGGGCUAGACAUACCUAUGUCACAGUCGAUAUGUCACAUGAAGACUGCAGCUGUUUCGAUCUGAACCAAUCAAGUUACUAGUUCAGAUUGUGGCCCUGGGAAACGCUUGACGUCUUUUUUUUAAUCUGACAAGCGCAUGAAUCCUGUCGGUAAAAAUAUAUCCUUGUCGCUACUUGUUAGUUUCGCCAUGUUUGAUGCAAAAAGAUAAAUAGAUGGAAAGGUGAUUACUGAUUA